CUGAAAGCAUCUAAGCCUGAAACCGCCCCCGAAAAGAGCCGCCCAUUAAGGGCUCCCGUAAAAGACGGGGUUGAUAGGACCGGGGUGUAAGCGGCGAGCUUCGGCGAGCCGUUCAGCCCGCGGUCACUAAUCGCCCGCGCCGAUUGGGCCGGUCUCAGGCAUAGUCUGGGACCGGCUCUACCGGCGAAUAUCCCGGCCGGUGGAUGGCUCGGCUCGGGCGCCGACGAAG
rnacentral:sRNA from 1 species